rnacentral:rRNA from 1 species
UGCGCAGGCGGAUUAAUAAGUCGGGGGUUAAAUCCAUGUGCUUAACACAUGCACGGCUUCCGAUACUGUUGAUCUAGAGUCUCGAAGAGGAAGGUGGAAUUUCCGGUGUAACGGUGGAAUGUGUAGAUAUCGGAAAGAACACCAGUGGCGAAGGCAGCCUUCUGGUUGAGUACUGACGCUCAUGCACGAAAGCGUGGGGAGCAAACA